CUGGUCUUGAACUCCUGACCUCAUGAUCCACCCCCCUCGGCUUCCCAAAGUGCUGGGAUUACAGGCAUGAGCCACCGCUCCUGGCCUGGCUGAGAACCAAUUCUAAGCCACCACACAGAGUUGCAAAACCAUAAAACAAUUAGCAAUAACUCUGCUAUCAAACAGUUAAUUACCAGGGAGUGUAAAUACGUGCUCAAGGCUCCAACUUACAGACUAAUAGGAGUUUUGAAGCCUGCCGUUUUUUGAAGGCUUAUACAAAAUAGUUUCCUGCAAACUCAAGUGGCUGGGAAGCCCAGCUGAAGGUUACUUCUACCCCAAGGCCACGUCAGCAGAAAGUGGCCAACAGGACUUGGGCCUGAAAAAGCUCAGACUGAAUUUUAGGAGUGACAUCUGAAACUGCUGGUUUCUCACAAGGAAUAAAAGCUGUCUGGGAAGCUGGAGAAGCAGCUUGCUGUCUGGAGCAGGGACUUGCAAAUGGGAACAGUGAAGAGAGACAGCAUCUCCUUCCUCUGAAGAUUCUGUUCAGAAUGGAUAAAGGUUCAGCAUCCUCCCUGGAUGGGGCAGCUUAGCAGAUACAGGGUCUCGCCAUGAGCCACAGCACCUGGCCACUUCUCAUUUUUAAUGCUGUAGACCCAGAGGAAAGCACUGGGAGGAAUGAGAAAGUAGCGACUAGACAAAAAUGAAAACUCUUUAAGAAGCAUUGCUGAAGUUACAGGGGAAAAAGGGACUUGAAAGGCCACAUGCUUGCAACAACAGAAGACUUGUAAGGAAAGGAAUCAGACCUACGGGAUACAGCAAGGUGUCUUUCCACAAACUAAGAAGAGAAACCUCUCCAGGAACCCCAUCAGUUGGCACCUUGAUCUUGGACUUUUCAGUCUUCAGAACUGUGAGGAAAUGUCUGUUGCUGAAACCAUCCAGUCCAUGGUGUUUUUGCUGCAGCAGCCCAAACUAUAGCUCAAAAUAAAAAGGGAAGUCAGAUUAUGUGGGCUAAACUAUGCUUCUACUUUCUCUCCAACAAGAGAAAGUGAGCAAAGAAUGGGGACUUCAGGAGGUUAGGACUACUGCAGCGACUAUGGUCCUUUGGUCAAGGAACCCAAGGACGACAUUGAGAUAGAGAUACCAACCAGAUCAGCAGUUCUUAAAUGAGAGAGGCAACCUCACAAUAGACUUCUCCUAUCCCUGCUGUUAGCCAAGUCUUCCCUUCUGCCCAGAGAGCUCUCAGCCUUCUCUGUGUUCUACACAACCUUUAAAACCAAGUUCAAGUUCCAACUCUUCGGCAAAGCCUAACAUUGAUCUCAUCUUUCUCAGAAUUCCAUCGAUACACAUGAUGUAUACAAUUUGCUUACUAUCCUCAUAUGAAACGUGGUGUGACAGGCAGCAUUGAAUUUGCAGUAAUAUCUGGAUUCCACUAGAGAGUCACUUCUCACUAGCUAUGUUAACCAGAGUGGAUUAUUUAGCAUCCCGAAGCCUCAGUUUCCUGAUUUGCAAAAUAGGAAAAAUGAGAGGAUUCAAAGCCUCUAUCCUGAGGACAUAGAGCAAUGGGAACUCGCAUAUAUUAUUGGUUGGGUGUAAAUUGAUCCAAGCCCUUUGAAAACCAUUUGCUAGUGUCUCCUAAAGUUAAAUCUAUGCCUAUUCUAUGAGCGAGCAAUUCCACUCCUAGGUAUAUAACCAAUAGAAAUGAGCGCUUAAGGCUGAGCGCAGUGGCUCACACCUGUAAUCCCAGCACUUUGGGAGGCUGAGGCAGCAGAUCACCUGAGGUCGGGAGUUUGAGACCAGCCUGACCAACAUGGAGAAACCCAGUCUCUACUAAAAAUACAAAAUUAGCCAGGUGUGGUGGCACAUAUCUGUAAUCCCAGCUACUCGGGGGGCUGAAGCAGGAGAAUCGCUUGAACUCGGGAGGCGGAGGUUGUGGUGAGCUGAGAUCAUGCCAUUGCACUUCAGCCUGGGCAACAAGAGCAAGACUCCGUCUCAAAAAAAUAAAAAGAAAGAAAGGAAAGAAAGAAAGAAGAAGGAAGGAAGGAAAG